rnacentral:rRNA from 1 species
UAGGGAAUAUUGCGCAAUGGGCGAAAGCCUGACGCAGCGACGCCGCGUGGGUGAUGAAGCUCCUUGGAGUGUAAAACCCUGUCAGUGGGGAAGAACCGCAUACGGAAUCACUGCCGUAUGCCUGACGGUACCCGCAGAGGAAGCUCCGGCCAACUCCGUGCCAGCAGCCGCGGUAAUACGGGGGGAGCGAGCGUUGUUCGGAUUUACUGGGCGUAAAGGGCGUGUAGGCGGGUCUUCAAGUCAAAUGUGAAAACCGACGGCUUAACCGUCGGCCUGCAUUUGAAACUGGAGGUCUUGAGUACGGGAGAGGAAAGCGGAAUUCCUGGUGUAGCGGUGAAAUGCGUAGAUAUCAGGAGGAACACCGGUGGCGAAGGCGGCUUUCUGGCCCGAUACUGACGCUGAGGCGCGAAGGCUAGGGGAGCAAACAGG